rnacentral:rRNA from 1 species
GACGAACGCUGGCGGCGUGCUUAACACAUGCAAGUCGAACGAAGUGGCGAACGGGUGAGUAACGCGUAAUCAACCUGCCCUUCAGAGGGGGACAACAGUUGGAAACGACUGCUAAUACCGCAUACUGAAGGAGGGGAUUGCGUCUGAUUAGCGAGUUGGAGGGGUAACGGCCCACCAAGGCGAUGAGCAGUAGCCGGUUUGAGCGGAUGAACGGCCAAAUUGGGACUGGGGAACGGCCCAGACUCCUAAGGGAGGCAGCAGUGGGGAAUCUUCCGCAAUGGACGAAAGUCUGACGGAGCAACGCCGCGGGAGUGAAGAAGGUUUUCGGAUCGUAAAGCUCUGUUGUUAAGGAAGCGGUACUUAACCAGAAAGGGACGGCUAACUACGUGCCAGCAGCCGCGGUAAUAC